GACGAACGCUGGCGGCACGCUUAACACAUGCAAGUCGAACGAGAGAAGAGAAGCUUGCUUUUCUGAUCUAGUGGCGGACGGGUGAGUAACACGUGAGCAAUCUGCCUUUCAGAGGGGGAUACCGAUUGGAAACGAUCGUUAAUACCGCAUAAUAUAAUUGAACCGCAUGAUUUGAUUAUCAAAGAUUUAUCGCUGAAAGAUGAGCUCGCGUCUGAUUAGCUAGUUGGUAAGGUAACAGCUUACCAAGGCGACGAUCAGUAGCCGGACUGAGAGGUUGAUCGGCCACAUUGGGACUGAGACACGGCUCAGACUCCUACGGGAGGCAGCAGUGGGGAAUAUUGCACAAUGGAGGAAACUCUGAUGCAGCGAUGCCGCGUGAGGGAAGAAGGUUUUAGGAUUGUAAACCUCUGUCUUCAGGGACGAAAAAAGACGGUA
rnacentral:rRNA from 1 species